CGGGAAUCUUCCACAAUGGACGGAAGUCUGAUGGAGCAACGCCGCGUGAGCGAAGAAGGUUUUCGGAUCGUAAAGCUCUGUUGUAAGGGAAGAACACGUACGGGAGUCACUGCCCGUACCUUGACGGUACCUUAUCAGAAAGCCACGGCUAACUACGUGCCAGCAGCCGCGGUAAUACGUAGGUGGCAAGCGUUGUCCGGAAUUAUUGGGCGUAAAGCGCGCGCAGGCGGUCCUUUAAGUCUGAUGUGAAAGCCCACGGCUCAACCGUGGAGGGUCAUUGGAAACUGGAGGACUUGAGUACAGAGGAGGAAAGCGGAAUUCCACGUGUAGCGGUGAAAUGCGUAGAGAUGUGGAGGAACACCAGUGGCGAAGGCGGCUUUCUGGUCUGUAACUGACGCUGAGGCGCGAAAGCGUGGGGAGCAAAC
rnacentral:rRNA from 1 species